GAAGAGGGAGUGAUGGUAGAGAGAGAGGAAGACAGAGAGAGUGAUGGUAGAGAGACAAAGAGAGGGAGGAAGAGGGAGGAGAGAGAGAGGACAGCAUGCUGAACCAGUACCCGGACUAGAGACUGUAGUAAAACCAGAAACCUGCUAAGAUAUUGAUGUGACCUGACUCUGGGUGAUCUAGUCCCUGAAGGACCUGAACCUGAUCUAAAGGGACCGGAUGAGGAAACCUCCGUGUUCAGCUCUCCCUCUCUUCCCGCCGCGCCCCUCGCCUCCGUCUACCGGCUCCGUCAAAGGAAACUAACGAGCAUCAUGGUGGCGGGCGAGCUCGUGCAGGAGCAUCUGCGCGCGGACUCCGGCGCACCUGACGACAUCACGGUGGACAGGAAGACCGCGGAUCCGGAGGGAGCGACCGCGGAGCCGUCAUACGGAGCCGUACCGACCUACGAGGCGGUCUACUCCCCACAGGAGGACCGGGAGGAGGAGAAGGAGGCUCAGCCGGAUGAGAAAGAGGCGAUGCUGCGUCCCGGAGGAGGAGAGGAGGCGGAGGAGAAGGUGUUAGAGACCAGACUUUACCGGCGCCGGUUCGCCGUGCUCGUGGUCUUUAGUCUGUACUCUCUAGUGAACGCGUUCCAGUGGAUCCAGUACAGCAUCAUCACCAACGUCUUCAUGAAGUACUAUGGCGUCAGCAGCGACAAGGUGGACUGGCUCUCCAUCGUCUACAUGGUCGCCUACGUGCCCCUCAUCUUCCCGGCUACCUGGCUCCUGGACAGGAAGGGUCUGCGUCUCACGGCCCUGCUGGGAGCCGGCCUUAACUGCGCAGGCGCCUGGCUCAAAUGCGCCAGCGUGAGCCCCGAGCUGUUCGGAGUCACCGUCACCGCGCAGGUCAUCUGCUCCGUGGCGCAGGUGUUCAUCCUCGGCCUGCCCUCCAGGGUCGCCUCGGUGUGGUUCGGACCUCGGGAGGUUUCCACCGCGUGCGCCACGGCCGUGCUUGGGAACCAGCUCGGAACAGCCAUUGGUUUCCUGCUGCCUCCAGUUUUGGUUCCUAACACUCCAGAAAACAUGGAGCUGACAGGUCACAAUAUCAGCAUCAUGUUUUAUGGAACAGCAGCUGUCUCAACUGUACUUUUCCUUCUCACUGUCGUAGUUAUAAAGGACCGACCUGACCUUCCUCCUAGUCACGCCCAGGCUGUCCUACCAGACUGUCCUCCUGAGGAUUACUCCUACAGACAAUCCAUCCUCAACCUGGCUAAGAACAAAGCGUUUGUUCUCCUGCUCAUCAGCUACGGAAUAAUGACCGGCUCCUUCUACUCUGUCUCUACACUGCUCAAUCAGAUGAUCAUGGCCUGCUACAAGAACCAGGAGUUGAAUGCUGGGAGGAUUGGUUUGACCCUGGUUGUUGCUGGGAUGGUUGGCUCUAUCCUCUGUGGCCUGUGGUUGGACCAUACAAAGACAUACAAGAUCACCACUCUCAUCGUCUACAUCCUGUCCUUCCUGGGAAUGGUGGUCUUCACGCUCACGCUGAAUCUCAACAACAUCUACCUGGUCUUCUUCACCGCUGGAGUGCUUGGGUUCUUCAUGACCGGGUACCUCCCUCUGGGAUUUGAGUUUGGAGUAGAGAUCACGUACCCGGAGUCUGAGGGAACAUCGUCUGGACUGCUCAAUGCUUUCGCUCAGAUCUUUGGGAUCAUUUUCACUCUGAUUCAGGGAAAGCUGACCACAGACCAGGGCCCACUGGCUGGAAACCUCUUCCUCUGUGCAUGGAUCUUCCUGGGAAUCCUCCUGACUGCCUUAAUCAAGUCAGAGCUGAAAAGACACAACGUCAACAUGGGGGCAAACGGGAACCACCUGUUAGCACUUCCCACCGACUGUCCCGGCGACAGCCCUUUACAGAAGAAAACCAACGGCGUCACGCUGGAGCCCUCUGUCAGCUUCUCCCGUGAGACCUCGCUGUAAGCCCGCCAACUCCCUGGAUCUUUGGAGACACUCAGACGUCUCCAUGCUGCCCUGGGAGACGAGCACGAGAGCAACACGACGGUGAAUUUAUCACAGAGUCUAAGCUCCGCUGAAGGCUGCGGCUCUGGGUGUGAGCUACGUCUGAUCAAGCACAGCCACAACCUGAAGGUGGAGAGACUCGAACCCUCAGACUGUCGGACUCCUUCAGCAUUUCUCUGCAGAAAACACACUUACCUGAAGAAUCACAAGAGCACAGAACUUUAGGUUUCAUUCUGUGGAUCAGUUGGAGGUAUUCAGAAGAAGGAGAUCUAACACACUUUCUUUGUACUGUAGGAAGAGCAUGUGCUCUGAUUUUACUGUAUGAAAUCUGGUUCCUAGUAGAAGACAAGCUGGUCAACAAGCUCCAACUAAGACUCACAGCAGCAGGUGAGACUCCAGGAGCUCAGCUUGGCUCAGACACUGAUGACAGAUGUUCUUACCUUCACACGGCUGUGAACAGACGGAGAUGACUGUGUCUGCUGUAGGAGAACAGGUUCACCUCUGUAGAAACACAAAUCUGCUGCAGAAACCACAGAGGACCAAACAGAACAGGAAUGUGUUCUGAGUUCAGUGCACAAAAGAAACAAACGCACAACUUACAGUUUUUACUGAAAUGCACGAUUUGAGAUGUUUUUAUGCCUAACCCUGUCAUUCUUCCUGGAGGUUAAAGAUGAAGUUAAAGCAGCAAUGUCAGACCUUUCAGUCGGCUUCGUGAAGUGUCAAAGAUAUCAGAAAUAUCAGGGAGGGCUUUUUAUGUAGCUGGUAUUAAUGUUAAUUUAUUUUCAGAUGUGGUUUUAUAAAUUAACUUGUUCUAACUUCUUUCAUAAUAACUGGAUCUGUCUUUAUUCCUUCUUUAUUUGAAUGUCUGGGAUAUUUCCUGUUAGCAUUUGAAGCUCUAACGUUUCUUUGUGCUCAUUUUUAUGUAUUUUAUAAAGCAUUUAAAUGUUUAUAAGUUGGUAUUGGUAUAAGUAUUUAUUCAUUUCUGUUCAUGGCUAUAGAAAUAGCACUGACAAAAAUGUGAAAUGAAAGGAAAUGGAUUUUUCUCUGGUCUGAAAACAAUCUGACAUCUGAGUCUUCUUGACAUUUUUAAAGCAUGUUCAGUCAAAAUCACACAUCUGCCUUCAUUCUGUUUUUUUAUUUUUAUACUGAAACUGAUAUUAAGAUGGAAUGAAAAGUGUCUUCCUUCUGUUUCUGUAUAAAUCCACUGAUCCUGUCAGUGCUGGCAGAGAUUAGACUGAAGACUGUAGACGGACUCUGAGAUGGUGGCAGACUCGGAUUUGUUUGCUUGUUCACGUUAAUAUAAAGUCUGUAAAUGUUUGCUGUCAUGUGAAGAUGUUCGAUUUAUUUUCAGUCAUCCAGACACCACUGGAUGCCAGUCUGUCAGUAAAACUGGAACCACUGUAUGCAGACGACAUUACUCUGUACAUGAGUCAAAGACAAAUCUCAACACUAAAAGA